GGAGGCGUCGCCUAGCCCGGUCUAUGGCGCCGCACUGCUAAUGCGGUUUGGGCCUCAAGCCCAUCGCGAGUUCAAAUCUCGCCGCCUCCGCCA
rnacentral:tRNA from 2 species